GCCACCUUGGCGCAGUGGUAACGCGUAGCACUUGUACUAAAGUCAAUGCUAAGAUCACAGGUUCGAUUCCUGUAGGUGGCA
rnacentral:tRNA from 2 species